CUUCCUACUAUAUAAGCAGCCAGCGCAGGCCUAGGGUUUCCUUCCUCCUCCAGUGCUCCCUGCGCGCCGCCGUCCCCGCCCUUCGCUUCGCGUGCUCGUGAGCUCGUCGGCCUCCGCGUUCUCGCGAGAACGAGAGCAUGGACACCCAGGUGAAGCUUGCUGUUGUGGUGAAGGUGAUGGGCAGGACUGGCUCCAGGGGUCAGGUGACCCAGGUUAGAGUGAAGUUCUUGGAUGACCAGAACCGUCUCAUCAUGAGGAACGUCAAGGGCCCGGUUCGUGAGGGUGACAUCCUCACCCUGCUCGAGUCUGAGAGGGAGGCCAGGAGGCUGCGCUGAGGCAGUUGGUGCCAUGGUGGUUCUUGUAUGGAGUUGGGUGUCAUCGAAUUCGUGCUGUGUUUGUCAAACUUUGUGUGACCCUUAUGAUUAGUAAGCCUGGUGAUAAGAUUGCAGUUUUGUUUUUUGAUCCAGGUUCAAAGUGCACUUGUUGUGCUGAGAUCCAUAGACAUCUGCCAUGGUCAUCCUUCGCUAUAUUAGCUCAAUCGAUGCAUGAAUUGAAUACUAGCUGAAUCUCUGAGGUUUUAUUCUACCUGGUUGAAUAUAAUAGUCGUUGAGGUGUC